UACAGAGGUCUCAAGCGUUGUUCGGAUUCAUUGGGCGUAAAGGGUGCGUAGGUGGCGCGGUAAGUCGGGUGUGAAAUUUCGGAGCUUAACUCCGAAACUGCAUUCGAUACUGCCGUGCUUGAGGACUGGAGAGGAGACUGGAAUUUACGGUGUAGCAGUGAAAUGCGUAGAUAUCGUGAAGGAAGACCAGUGGCGAAGGCG
rnacentral:rRNA from 1 species